rnacentral:rRNA from 1 species
AGAGUUUGAUCCUGGCUCAGGAUGAACGCUGGCGGCGUGCUUAACACAUGCAAGUCGAACGGUGAACACGGAGCUUGCUCUGUGGGAUCAGUGGCGAACGGGUGAGUAACACGUGAGCAACCUGCCCCUGACUCUGGGAUAAGCGCUGGUAACGGCGUCUAAUACUGGAUAUGUGACGUGAUCGCAUGGUCUGCGUCUGGAAAGAAUUUCGGUUGGGGAUGGGCUCGCGGCCUAUCAGCUUGUUGGUGAGGUAAUGGCUCACCAAGGCGUCGACGGGUAGCCGGCCUGAGAGGGUGACCGGCCACACUGGGACUGAGACACGGCCCAGACUCCUACGGGAGGCAGCAGUGGGGAAUAUUGCACAAUGGGCGCAAGCCUGAUGCAGCAACGCCGCGUGAGGGACGACGGCCUUCGGGUUGUAAACCUCUUUUAGCAGGGAAGAAGCGAAAGUGACGGUACCUGCAGAAAAAGCGCCGGCUAACUACGUGCCAGCAGCCGCGGUAAUACGUAGGGCGCAAGCGUUAUCCGGAAUUAUUGGGCGUAAAGAGCUCGUAGGCGGUUUGUCGCGUCUGCUGUGAAAUCCGGAGGCUCAACCUCCGGCCUGCAGUGGGUACGGGCAGACUAGAGUGCGGUAGGGGAGAUUGGAAUUCCUGGUGUAGCGGUGGAAUGCGCAGAUAUCAGGAGGAACACCGAUGGCGAAGGCAGAUCUCUGGGCCGUAACUGACGCUGAGGAGCGAAAGGGUGGGGAGCAAACAGGCUUAGAUACCCUGGUAGUCC